rnacentral:lncRNA from 1 species
AUUUUCUGCCCAUGUGUGUGUCUUUCCUUUGCCCAUGUGUGUGUGUUUCCUUUGCCCAUGUGUGUGUGUUUUUCCUUUGCAUUUGCACACACAUGUUCUUCAUUAUUUCAGCCAACAAUCCACCCAUUUUCUGCCCAUGCCAAGCCCUCCAUGCCGUGCCUUUCUUGUUGUGUGUGUGCUAUCCAUGUAGAGUGUGUGUAUGCCCUCCAACCUGUGCAGUUUGCAUGUGUGUAGCUGUCCAUGUUUCUCUUUUGCAUGUGCCGUGCCUUCUCUUUCUAGUUGUGCAUUUCCACUUGCUCCAAAGCCAAAUGAGUGCAAUCAUAACCCCAUUUGCUGCUGAGUGUUGAUGACAAAGCAAAACACAAAACAAGUGCCUUUACUUUCUCAUUUUAUUAGCCAAAUCUGCUUAGGCCUUUCCUGAACCUUUCAGUGUUAUAAUGCCCAUAACUUCUUUUAAAAACAUGAUAUUAACAAUUCGUAAAUUGCUCCAGAAAAUAGACAUCCGUAGCUUUCCAAACAUAUAAGGCUCAUUCUCUCAUUCAUUCUGAGUUGUUCGUAACAUGCUUCCAAAGUCAGCUAAUCUGCACAGGCCGUUUUGACGAAUUUGUUACUUAAUAUCUCACUUGUGCUACUUUUCUUUUCUUUGCUUGAUAAAUAACACAAAAACAUAGUAAAUAGCUCAAAAAUAUAAGGAACUAACUAAGAAAAGACAAGUGAAUUUUAUGUAAAAUAUAUAUAAAUAUGAGCUUAUCAAACUCCCAAGUAGAUUUGUGUUGAGCAAAAAUAGAAUUAUAAGGUAGACUGCAUCUUCAUUUCCUUCUUUUGUCCCAGUAUCAAAUGCAACUCGAAUUGCAUGUGCAAUUUCUUUUCUACUGAUUCUUGCCAUUUAUGAGAAGUAUUU